rnacentral:rRNA from 1 species
AUGGCUGACAACAUGCGCCAUGUUCCAAAAGAUUCAAUGAUGCAUGGUGAGGAUGGUACUGGACUCGCAUCCUCUUCAAAUCAAACGGAUGAUCUCGAAGACGUAAAGGGCAUUUUUACUCAACUUAAAAUAAGCCCGUCAGAGCCUGAUCCGGCGGCUUCAAAAGGUUUCACCUUCAGCGAGGUUAACUGCUGGCGACCAGCAAGCAGCAGGAAGUUAGUCUGCUGCAACUUCUCUUCCGACGGCAGGAUCUUGGCAAGUGCUGGACAUGAAAACAAGGCUGUAGUUUGGAACAUGGACACUUUCCAGACUCAUAAUUUACCAGAAGAGCAUGCUUACCUUAUCACCGAUGUCUGUUUCAGACCUAACUCUACACAGAUGGCAACAUCUGCUUUUGACAAAACAAUUAAGCUAUGGAAUGCUAGAGAUACUCGAUUCUCUCAUCAUACAUUCUCUGGGCAUAAAUAUCCAAUUGUGUCACUAGAUAUUCAUCCAAAGAAGACAGACCUUUUGUGUUCUUGUGAUAGGAAUGGUGAAAUCCGGUACUGGAACGUGACUCAGCUUACCUAUCUAGGUGCCAUGAAGUCUGACUUUGGACAGGACGGUCCUCUCGUUCGUUUCCAACCUAGCACUGGACAAUUACUCGCAGCUACUACAGGAAAUGUUGUCUCUAUAUUUGACGUUGACACACAUACCAAAAAGUACACCUUGCAGGGCCAUAACAUAAGCGUGCAGUGGUUGUGCUGGGAUAACAGUGGGGAGUACCUGGCAUCUGUCAGUGAGGAUCAAGUUAAGGUUUGGUCAGUAUCAUCAGGAGAGUGCACUCAUGAGGUCAGCUCAAAUGGAAAUGCGUUCUAUUCUUGUGUGUUCCAUCCAAGUUAUACCAACCUCUUGGUGAUUGGAGGCUACCAGUCUUUGGAGCUAUGGGACAUGGUAAACAACCAAAUUAUGAUGGUACAAGCUCACGAAGGUAUAAUUGCCGCGUUGGCACAAUCACCGGUAACCGGGAUGGUGGCUUCCGCGAGCCACGACAAAUCUGUCAAGCUGUGGAAGUAA